rnacentral:rRNA from 1 species
UACGUAGGCAGCGAGCGUUGUUCGGAGUUACUGGGCGUAAAGAGUGCGUAGGCGGUUUUCUAAGUUUGGUGUGAAAUCUCCCGGCUUAACUGGGAGGGUGCGCCGAAAACUGGAAGGCUUGAGUAUGGGAGAGGUAAGCGGAAUUCCUGGUGUAGCGGUGAAAUGCGUAGAUAUCAGGAGGAACACCAAUAGCGAAGGCAGCUCGCUGGGACGGUACUGACGCUAAGGUGCGAAAGCGUGGGGAGCGAACAGG